CAUCUGGUGAGGCUGCUUCUUCCCUUGCAGGACAGGCCCUAGCAAUGCUCAGUACAAACCCCACAACACGGCUGAAACAGAAGCACAGAUAAAAAGCCAGAGCUGUUCUUAUCAAGGUGUUGCCUGGUGUAAGUGAGACACCUGGGGCCAAUGAAGAGGCUGGAAGAUGCUGAUUGAACCAGCUGAGGUUCUAGCCAGGCAGGCUGACUCUACAGGUUGCAACAGGACAUGGCUGUGGAUAAGCUGGUGAAGUUGGAGACAACCUGUAUCAGCAUGAUGUCUGACAUGGAAUUUGCAUUGUCCCGUGAUCAGCAUGACCCUGCUCGUAUCACCAGAUAACGUCACACCUCCCAUUGCGUAACACCAUCGUGUUCUCUAGAUCCUGAGCCUGCAAUAGUUAUUGAGUUGGCUGUUUGUGCACUGGGGAGGGAAUUCAAAUAUUUUUAAGCACUUCAAAUGGUAGAUAGGUGCCCUUUGUUGAGAGUAAAGCAACCUGAUUCCUCAUAUGUCCACAUAUUGAAAGGAUGAAAUUUGUGCCAGCAGGGAUAAAGGAAGAGCUUUUAUCUGUGUACGAGUACAUUACGUGCAAGGGUACACAUCAGCAUUUAGGUAGAUAUCAGUGUUUUGUAAUUCCAGGAUCCCGUAACUUAAAUAAUCCUCUGCUGCCACAACGUUUUUCAUUAACAGUCAAAUAAAAAUUAGGCUAAAUUCU
ensembl:lncRNA